CUUGAGAGCGGCGUACGGGUGCGGAACACGUGUGCAACCUGCCUUUAUCUGGGGGAUAGCCUUUCGAAAGGAAGAUUAAUACCCCAUAAUAUAUUGACUGGCAUCAGUUGAUAUUGAAAACUCCGGUGGAUAGAGAUGGGCACGCGCAAGAUUAGAUAGUUGGUGAGGUAACGGCUCACCAAGUCUGCGAUCUUUAGGGGGCCUGAGAGGGUGAUCCCCCACACUGGUACUGAGACACGGACCAGACUCCUACGGGAGGCAGCAGUGAGGAAUAUUGGACAAUGGGUGAGAGCCUGAUCCAGCCAUCCCGCGUGAAGGACGACGGCCCUAUGGGUUGUAAACUUCUUUUGUAUAGGGAUAAACCUACCCUCGUGAGGGUAGCUGAAGGUACUAUACGAAUAAGCACCGGCUAACUCCGUGCCAGCAGCCGCGGUAAUACGGAGGGUGCAAGCGUUAUCCGGAUUUAUUGGGUUUAAAGGGUCCGUAGGCGGAUCUGUAAGUCAGUGGUGAAAUCUCACAGCUUAACUGUGAAACUGCCAUUGAUACUGCAGGUCUUGAGUGUUGUUGAAGUAGCUGGAAUAAGUAGUGUAGCGGUGAAAUGCAUAGAUAUUACUUAGAACACCAAUUGCGAAGGCAGGUUACUAAGCAACAACUGACGCUGAUGGACGAAAGCGUGGGGAGCGAACAGGAUUAGAUACCCUGGUAGUCCACGCCGUAAACGAUGCUAACUCGUUUUUGGGGCGCAAGCUUCAGAGACUAAGCGAAAGUGAUAAGUUAGCCACCUGGGGAGUACGUUCGCAAGAAUGAAGCUCAAAGGAAUUGACGGGGGCCCGCACAAGCGGUGGAUUAUGUGGUUUAAUUCGAUGAUACGCGAGGAACCUUACCAAGGCUUAAAUGG
rnacentral:rRNA from 1 species